rnacentral:rRNA from 1 species
AGAUUGAACGCUGGCGGCAUGCCUUACACAUGCAAGUCGAACGGCAGCACGGGAGCAAUCCUGGUGGCGAGUGGCGAACGGGUGAGUAAUACAUCGGAACGUGCCCAAUCGUGGGGGAUAACGCAGCGAAAGCUGUGCUAAUACCGCAUAAGAUCUACGGAUGAAAGCAGGGGAUCGCAAGACCUUGCGCGAAUGGAGCGGCCGAUGGCAGAUUAGGUAGUUGGUGAGGUAAAGGCUCACCAAGCCUUCGAUCUGUAGCUGGUCUGAGAGGACGACCAGCCACACUGGGACUGAGACACGGCCCAGACUCCGUACGGGAGGCAGCAGGUGGGGUAAUUUUGGGACAAGUGGGACGAAAGCCUGAUCCGAGCCAUCGCCGCGUGCGAGGAUGAAGGUCCGUUCGGGUUAGUAAACGUUGUCGUUUUAGGUAACGGUAAACGUAAACGUU